CAGUAGCCGCGGUAAUACGAAGGGUGCAAGCGUUAAUCGGAAUUACUGGGCGUAAAGCGUGCGUAGGCGGUGAGUUAAGUCUGCUGUGAAAUCCCCGGGCUCAACCUGGGAAUGGCAGUGGAUACUGGCUCGCUAGAGUGUGUCAGAGGAUGGUGGAAUUCCCGGUGUAGCGGUGAAAUGCGUAGAGAUCGGGAGGAACAUCAGUGGCGAAGGCGGCCAUCUGGGACAACACUGACGCUGAGGUACGAAAGCGUGGGGAGCAAACAGGAUUAGAUACCCCCGUAGUCCCUGUCUCUUAUAC
rnacentral:rRNA from 1 species